rnacentral:rRNA from 1 species
GACGAACGCUGGCGGCGUGCUUAACACAUGCAAGUCGAACGGAAAGGCCCUUCGGGGUACUCGAGUGGCGAACGGGUGAGUAACACGUGGGUGAUCUGCCCUGCACUUUGGGAUAAGCCUGGGAAACUGGGUCUAAUACCGAAUAGGACCACGCGCUUCAUGGUGUGUGGUGGAAAGCUUUUGCGGUGUGGGAUGGGCCCGCGGCCUAUCAGCUUGUUGGUGGGGUAAUGGCCUACCAAGGCGACGACGGGUAGCCGGCCUGAGAGGGUGACCGGCCACACUGGGACUGAGAUACGGCCCAGACUCCUACGGGAGGCAGCAGUGGGGAAUAUUGCACAAUGGGCGCAAGCCUGAUGCAGCGACGCCGCGUGAGGGAUGACGGCCUUCGGGUUGUAAACCUCUUUCAAUAGGGACGAAGCGCAAGUGACGUUACCUAUAGAAGAAGCACCGGCCAACUACGUG